UGGGGAUAUUGCACAAUGGGGGAAACCCUGAUGCAGCGACGCCGCGUGGGUGAAGGAGCACUUCGGUGCGUAAAGCCCUAUCGGCAGGGAAGAAAAGGGGGAAACCCCAGACGGUACCUGACUAAGAAGCCCCGGCUAACUACGUGCC
rnacentral:rRNA from 1 species